rnacentral:lncRNA from 1 species
CUAGCCACGUUACAAGCCUAAUAAAGUCCACACAGAUUGGAUAAUGUUUGCUCAAUUUUUCAUAAAGCUUAAUUUUGCGAUAAGGCAAAAUGACUUUCAAUGUGUUGUAAAAAAAAUGUUGAAAAUGAAUGAAUUAAAAAAUGAAUGACAAAAAAGAGAAGAAGAUAAUGUCUUGGGCAGAGGGGAUAUCCUUGCCAACUAGCCAGAAGGAUGUAAAAGAAAAUCAAACCAAUUGGGGUCGUCCUUUUAGCCGAUCUUUUUCAUGCCCACUACCUCUUCCAAAUGAAAGCCUUUGCCAAGGAAAAAACUGAGGCAACUUUGUGAGUCUCAUACAAAUUUUUCAUCAACCCAUGAUCCCAAGACUAGGG